UACGUAGGGGGCGAGCGUUGUCCGGAUUCAUUGGGCGUAAAGAGCUCGUAGGCGGCUCGGCAAGUCGGGUGUGAAACCUCCAGGCUCAACCUGGAGACGCCACUCGAUACUGAUGUGGUUAGAGUCCAGUAGGGGAGCGUGGAAUUCCUGGUGUAGCGGUGAAAUGCGCAGAUAUCAGGAGGAACACCAGCGGCGAAGGCGGCGCUCUGGGCUGGAACUGACGCUGAGGAGCGAAAGCGUGGGGAGCAAACAGG
rnacentral:rRNA from 1 species